rnacentral:tRNA from 1 species
UGCGGAGUAGAGCAGUUUGGUAGCUCGUCGGGCUCAUAACCCGAAGGUCACAGGUUCAAAUCCUGUCUCCGCUA